rnacentral:lncRNA from 1 species
UUCCCUGCCUUUGCCUUCUGGGACUUGGUCUAUGUGGCUAGAGCACUUGCAGGUGAAGACUGAGGCUAAAAAGUCAUCAAGUACCUCAGCCUUCUCCAUAUCCCAGGUGACCAGAUCUUCCAUUUCCUUCUGGAGAGGACCCACAAUUUCCCUAGUCUUCCUUUCACUGCUGAUGUACCUAUAUAAGCCUAUCUUGUAGCCCUUAACAUCCCUGGCCAAAUUUAAUUCUAACGGGGCUUUAGCUUUCCUAACCCGAUCCCUGGCUGCUUGGAUGACAGAGAAGAAGCCUACAGCGUAUGGCUGGAGUUCUCUCCCCUGUCCUCCCCUGCCUUUCCUCCUGUGUUUCUGAGGCAAAGGAUGCAGAAGAGUCCAUGGCACUGUGCAGCCCAUGAUGCCCUUUACCCCUGUUCCCACUGCACUCAUGUCAUACCCUGAUAAAGUCCUUGGAGGAGGGUGCUGAGAGAAAAAGAUGAGCAUCAUCAUUAUUUUGUGGCUAUGCAGAAAUAGUAACAGAGGGAAUCCUGGAAAGCGUGAGCUCCGGCUGAACGCAGUGGGGCUAUCUGCAGGGAUGUCAGUGGGAAUCAAGUCAGAACCGUGCAGUCUGGAGGCGUUUUGGUGAAAGUGGCAGCAGACAAGUGAAGGUUACCAUACUAAUAUCUUCGCCUUCCAAAAGAUAGGAGAAUUUGGAGCUUUUUCCCUUAGAUGGAAGUGACUGCUUGAAAUAGCAAUAGAUAACGAGUCACCUGCAAAGGAAAUUGCCUGCUCCCCUCCCAGCUCCAGCACCAAAGGAGCAAACCAGAACACGGGAGAUGCCAAAGCUGCUGGGCUAAUACAUUGGGAAGCACGAAGAUCAAGAAGAUCUGUUCCUAACACUGUGAUACACACUUGGUGUGUGGAAAGAUCAGUAGGUGGGCUUCCUGGUGUUGAAAUCCAUGAAACUUAAAAGCAGGCUUCCCGAGCACUUCCUGAGCUAACGAAUCGAGAUAUGCAGCAGCAUCAUUUGGUUUGCAUAGCAGAGAGGACAAACCCACCUCCUGAGCAAACAUACCCCGCAAGCAAAGCCAUGAGAUCCAUACUGCAGAAAAUGAAUUCCUCCAGGCACAACCCCCUGAGGGAUGCCCACGGAGCAAUACAAGGACCCCAAGGACUCUCCUGGAAGGACCCCAAAAAUCCCACAGCUUCAUCUGUCUUUGUUUUGAGCGGUGAACAAUACAGUCCUUCAGCAAACCCAGGAGAUGUAUAGUGUCAAACCUGCUGUGUAUCCACCAGUGCCCCAGUUUCCAUCAAGUUUUUGGAGGACCUGGGGAAGGAGCCCUGUGCACGGCACAGUGGCCGGGGCUGCAGUCUGGAUGUUGCCCAGAAACCCGGGAGGAGGAUAUUGCUUA